UGUUAUAUUCAUGUACCUGUGGCUUUCUGUGGGUGACUCCAUGGCAGAUUCAAUAAAGCCACUUUUUACUCAUAAAGCUGUAGAUGAAGGUGAUAAUGUUACUCUGUCCUGCAGAUAUGAAAUCACUGGUACAACAACCUCCAACCUCCACUGGUAUAAACAAUAUCCAAAAUCUAAACCUGAGUUCCUUCUUAAUAUUAUGCAGACUGGAACUCUAGUUUCCAAUAAACCAGCACGAAUGGAUGCUAAAAUUCGUGGAGAUGAAGUGGAUCUGAUCAUCUCCUCUGCUGCUGUAUCAGACUCUGCUCUAUACUACUGUGCUCUGGUGCCCACAGUGACAGGAAAUCCAGCUGCUCUGUACAAAAACACUGACACACUUUUGUAAAAGUAUAUUGAAGGAAGUUCUGACAAAUAUUUUGAGAAGUUUAAA